UGUGACCAAUAAACUGCCCUCCAUCUCUCAUCUGUCUGGUGCCAUGUGCGUGUACUUGGCCAUCCUCAUAACCUGGGACGGGAAUCCCUCCUCACCAGCAAGAAGAACAGGAGGAAGGUGUGGUGGAGUCCGGAGAAACCUGCUUUUCAUGCGCUCCUGGGCUCAGCUGCCGAUUCAUCCUGUGGCUUUUAGCAAUUUCUUCUCAGUUUUCCCAUCAAUGUAAUGAGUGAAAGGCACCACACCCCAGUGGACGACACCCACAGCAAGACAGUGAAGGGAAUUUACCCAAUUAUACUAGGAAGGUUGUUAGGUCUCAUGGUGUUGAGGACCUGCAAAUAAGAGUUCCACGGCGUUGGAAAAAGGUUGAAAACAGUGUCCUCUGUGACAAUGACAUUGACUACCCCGCAGACCCCCUGCGCAACAUGUAAGAUUUUGUGGCCUUCCAAAGAAUGGCUAUCCAUCAAUCCAUGAAAAAGCCUCCCGUGUGCAGGAAGCUUCCAUUUGACUGCCUUCCCUCUCAAAUCUUCCAGAAGUCCAGUGCGCAUUCUGAA